rnacentral:tRNA from 1 species
GUGGCUGUAGCUCAGUUGGUAGAGCACCAGAUUGUGGAUCUGGGGGUCGCCGGUUCAAGCCCGGUUAGCCACCCCA